UACGUAGGGGGCGAGCGUUGUCCGGAAUCAUUGGGCGUAAAGCGCGUGUAGGCGGCCCGGUAAGUCCGCUGUGAAAGUCCAGGGCUCAACCCUGGGAUGCCGGUGGAUACUGUCGGGCUCGAGUCCGGAAGAGGCGAGUGGAAUUCCUGGUGUAGCGGUGAAAUGCGCAGAUAUCAGGAGGAACACCAAUGGCGAAGGCAGCUCGCUGGGACGUGACUGACGCUGAGACGCGAAAGCGGGGGGAGCAAACAGG
rnacentral:rRNA from 1 species